GGAGAGGUGGCAGAGUGGACGAUUGCACUCGACUCGAAAUCGAACGUACCACCAUGGUACCGAGGGUUCAAAUCCCUCCCUCUCCGCCA
rnacentral:tRNA from 1 species